rnacentral:rRNA from 1 species
GGUGCUGCAUGGCUGUCGUCAGCUCGUGUUGUGAAAUGUUGGGUUAAGUCCCGCAACGAGCGCAACCCUUAUCCUUUGUUGCCAGCGGUCCGGCCGGGAACUCAAAGGAGACUGCCAGUGAUAAACUGGAGGAAGGUGGGGAUGACGUCAAGUCAUCAUGGCCCUUACGACCAGGGCUACACACGUGCUACAAUGGCGCAUACAAAGAGAAGCGACCUCGCGAGAGCAAGCGGACCUCAUAAAGUGCGUCGUAGUCCGGAUUGGAGUCUGCAACUCGACUCCAUGAAGUCGGAAUCGCUAGUAAUCGUGGAUCAGAAUGCCACGGUGAAUACGUUCCCGGGUCUUGUACACAC